GCCUACGGCCAUGCCACCCUGAACAUGCCCGAUCUUGUCUGAUCUCAGAAGCUAAGCAGGGUCGGGCCUGUUUAGUACUUGGAUGGGAGACCACCUAGGAAUAACAGAUGCUGUAAGCG
rnacentral:rRNA from 1 species